AUUGAACGCUGGCGGCAUGCUUUACACAUGCAAGUCGAACGGCAGCGAGGAGAAGCUUGCUUCUCUGUCGGCGAGUGGCGAACAGGUGAGUAUAGCAUCGGAACGUGCCAAGUAGUGGGGGAUAACCAAACGAAAGUUUGGCUAAUACCGCGUAAGCUCUAAGGAGGAAAGUAGGGGACCUAAAUAAGGCCUUACGCUAUUUGAUCGGCCGAUGUCGGAUUAGCUAGUUGGUGGGGUAAUGGCUCACCAAGGCAAUGAUCCGUAGCGGGUCUGAGAGGACGAUCCGCCACACUGGGACUGAGACACGGCCCAGACUCCUACGGGAGGCAGCAGUGGGGAAUUUUGGACAAUGGGGGAAACCCUGAUCCAGCCAUGCCGCGUGUAUGAAGAAGGCCUUAGGGUUGUAAAGUACUUUUGUUAGGGAAGAAAAGCUAGUUUUUAAUAAAAAUUAGUGAUGACGGUACCUAAAGAAUAAGCACCGGCUAACUACGUG
rnacentral:rRNA from 1 species